AACGAACGCUGGCGGCAGGCUUAACACAUGCAAGUCGAACGCCCCGCAAGGGGAGUGGCAGACGGGUGAGUAACGCGUGGGAACAUACCCUUUUCUACGGAAUAGCUCUGGGAAACUGGAAUUAAUACCGUAUACGCCCUACGGGGGAAAGAUUUAUCGGGGAAGGAUUGGCCCGCGUUGGAUUAGCUAGUUGGUGGGGUAAAGGCCUACCAAGGCGACGAUCCAUAGCUGGUCUGAGAGGAUGAUCAGCCACAUUGGGACUGAGACACGGCCCAAACUCCUACGGGAGGCAGCAGUGGGUAAUAUUGGACAAUGGGCGCAAGCCUGAUCCAGCCAUGCCGCGUGAGUGAUGAAGGCCUUAGGGUUGUAAAGCUCUUUCACCGAUGAAGAUAAUGACGGUAGUCGGAGAAGAAGCCCCGGCUAACUUCGUG
rnacentral:rRNA from 1 species